rnacentral:rRNA from 1 species
AAUGGGGGCAGCCCUGAUCCAGCCAUGCCGCGUGUGUGAAGAAGGCCUAGGGUUGUAAAGCACUUUCAGUAGGGAGGAAGGCUGUAGCGCGCUGCGGAUUGACGUUACCUACAGAAGCAGCACCGGCUAACUCCGUGCCAGCAGCCGCGGUAAUACGGAGGGUGCAAGCGUUGUCCGGAUUUAUUGGGUUUAAAGGGUACGUAGGCGGAUUUUUAAGUCCGUGGUGAAAGCCUACAGCUUAACUGUAGAACUGCCAUGGAUACUGGAAAUCUUGAAUUCAGUUGAGGUAAGCGGAAUUUAUGAUGUAGCGGUGAAAUGCAUAGAUAUCAUAAAGAACACCUAUUGCGAAGGCAGCUUGCUGGACUUGAAUUGACGCUGAGGUACGAAAGCGUGGGGAGCGAACAGGAUU